AGAGUUUGAUCAUGGCUCAGGACGAACGCUGGCGGCGUGCCUAACACAUGCAAGUCGAACGGAACUUUUUCAGAAGAUUCUUUCGGGAUGAUUUUGGUUAAGUUUAGUGGCGGACGGGUGAGUAACGCGUGAGUAACCUGCCUUUGAGAGGGGAAUAACAAUCUGUAAAGAUUGCUAAUACCGCAUAACAUAUACGAAUCGCAUGGUUUGUAUAUCAAAGAUUUUAUCGCUCAGAGAUGGACUCGCGUCCGAUUAGUUAGUUGGUGAGGUAACGGCUCACCAAGACCGCGAUCGGUAGCCGGACUGAGAGGUUGAACGGCCACAUUGGGACUGAGACACGGCCCAGACUCCUACGGGAGGCAGCAGUGGGGGAUAUUGCGCAAUGGGGGCAACCCUGACGCAGCAACGCCGCGUGAAGGAUGAAGGUUUUCGGAUUGUAAACUUCUUUUAUUAAGGACGAAAAAUGACGGUACUUAAUGAAUAAGCUCCGGCUAACUACGUGCCAGCAGCCGCGGUAAUACGUAGGGAGCAGGCGUUGUCCGGAUUUACUGGGUGUAAAGGGUGCGUAGGCGGCUUUGCAAGUCAGAUGUGAAAUCUAUGGGCUCAACCCAUAAACUGCAUUUGAAACUGUAGAGCUUGAGUGAAGUAGAGGCAGGCGGAAUUCCCCGUGUAGCGGUGAAAUGCGUAGAGAUGGGGAGGAACACCAGUGGCGAAGGCGGCCUGCUGGGCUUUAACUGACGCUGAGGCACGAAAGCGUGGGUAGCAAACAGGAUUAGAUACCCUGGUAGUCCACGCUGUAAACGAUGAUUACUAGGUGUGGGGGGUCUGACCCCUUCCGUGCCGGAGUU
rnacentral:rRNA from 1 species